rnacentral:rRNA from 1 species
AGAGCGAACGCUGGCGGCAGGCUUAACACAUGCAAGUCGAACGGAUCCUUCGGGAUUAGUGGCGGACGGGUGAGUAACACGUGGGAACGUGCCUUUAGGUUCGGAACAACACAGGGAAACUUGUGCUAAUACCGGACGUGCCCUUCGGGGGAAAGAUUUAUCGCCUUUAGAGCGGCCCGCGUCUGAUUAGCUUGUUGGUGAGGUAAAGGCUCACCAAGGCUACGAUCAGUAGCU